UUAUUUUUCUUCUUAUCCUGUCUUAGUGUCUUGUACUCUUGUUAGAAAAUGGCGUGUAUAUAGCAAGUGACUUGAAAAUGAUAUGUAACGCAGGUUAUUUCAGGCCUAAACUCGCAGGACUGCAAAUUGUAAGACUUUGGCUGGCAGAACUCUUCCUUCAGUGCCAUUAACAUUUCCCGCCUUUCCCUGCCUCGGAUUUCCAUGGUCGAACUUUCUGUGCACAUGGAAGUUUGGAUAAACUGAACAAUUAUUAAAAUUGCCAACAUUCUAUCCAUUCUCAGGUUAUGAUGCUUGAUGACACCUGACAGCGAUUGGAUCAUGAGUGGAUCAUGCUCCAGUCUUCUGAUCUCCACUGAUCCAUCCUGUGUAGCUCUCUUCUUCUAAUCUCAUCUUGUGUAGCUAUGGGCAUUCUUAUCUCUCCUCUACUCAUCUCUUCUGGGUCCAAGGAAACCUUCAGUCAGGGUAAUCAACCAAAGGGAAUUCCUGAUUUCCUUAAGAAUUUCUAGUAGGAAUCACCUCUGAAAAUCGGCAAUGACCUGAUCCGUCAUCAUUAUUAGUUGGGGUGUGUGAAAUGUUGCGGGGAACCAAAAAGAGAAAAGGCAAAAAGUGAGGAGAUUUAUACUGUAGAAAUUUAUCAGGAUUAUUGCCAACUCUAGUAGACGCGAUGAAGCCAAUCCACCACUUUCUGGUAAUUUUGUCUCAUCCAGUUGAGAUUGUUGUUGGCUUGUUCGAUCGACUGCUGAGUAGCUCGUUCCGCACCGCUAAAUACGUCACUCUUUUCCUCCCGGAACUGAAUCAACUAUUGCGCACAUCAAACAGGAAAUUUAGCAUUGGUCAGAUGAAGGAUACUGGCAGUAGUAAGCACUUACAUUUCGCGCAAUUUCGUCCACUUUUCACGAAUAAAGUUGAAAGACAAGUAGCGACCAAGUGAAUGGGAAGCAACUUGGCUGAUGACGCGAGCAGCGUCUUGUUUUCGGAUUCCUGAGUUCGGGUCGAGACUCAUCUCCAACAUCCUAACAAAUAGUCAAACAAUUUAAAAAUCAAAUCAAAUUCUAUUUUACAGCUGAAUUUACUUGGCUAAAAUCCAGGGCUGUUCUGAACACGACAUGGAAGAAAGGAGAAAGUCUCGUUCGCUGGCCACGUUGCUGGCCAUGUAGCGGUUCAAAGCAAAUUCCCAUUCAACUUCGUCGCCUUCCCGGAUGGCUAUGCACGUCACAGUGCCUUUCAGGUCAGGUGAAAUAACACUAUUAAAGGGAAACGAAAAAUUAUAAGUAAAUCCAGACUAAAUUACUCAAAUAAUUCUUAUUUACUCAAUAUUCUCAGGAUCGGCCAUCCAUUGAGCGUAGGAUUUGACAGCGCGACUGAUGCAGUCCUUGUUGCCCAUGGAACAAGCCCACGAAACGGCGUUGGUACGCAAUUUGGUCAUUAAAAGAUCCUCGCCGAUCUUUUGGUCGAACCCCACCAGGUUGUACAGCGGCGUGAUGAUUGUGCGGAAAUGUUUCUUCAGCAACCCGUAGCCGGAAGUGCGAGACAUCAUUGAGGAAAUGUAACCCAUGCUGGAAAGGGCGGCAUCCCAUGGAACGUAAUCGGUUUCGUGUUCCAGGUAACGCGUCAGGUUCAGCGCAGUUUCGUAAUCCAACAGGCCGGCUUCGGCCAAAUUCAGUGAAUCGUCCAUAAUUUGUGCUCGGUUGAUGACGGAAAUGGCCGAGUGGUUAGUCAUCAACUGCUGGCCAAUCAUCUGCCAAUUUUUCGAAUCGUAGUUGAUGCGAUAAUAACCUGGAAUUAAUGCGCGUUAGUAAUGAAUCCGGACGGAUUAUUUGCGGAAGCCUUAUUACCCAUCUGGUCAACGUUGAAAAUGACCCAUUGAUUUUUAUCGGCUGGAAUGCUCAGUUCGUGUUUCUUGCCAGUCUGUCCGUCAGCCAACCAGGUGGAUCCUACCGUCUGGAAGUCUGUCGUGUAGGUCAGUGGCACCCACCAAAGGUAAACCGUUUUGUCCUGGCUGCUGGCGUUGGAUCGUUGCAUCAAGAAGCGUUCCUGAUUUCCAUUUGAUAAACAUUUUAUUGCCUGUCCAAAUCUUAUGCGCCAUUAGUAUUACCUGGCUGAGGGAAACGGAACUAUUUUCGUAUUCUCGAGUCACCGUGACGACCGGGAAACCUGCAGCAACACCAUUUAUCAACAACAAGAUUAGAUUGAUGUGCAUUCGAGAGCUUGACGCCAAAUUACCCAUCUUCAAAGUCCAAUUGUCCAUAAUUUGUUUCACACCAGUGGGCAGUGGGACCUUGUCGACUUUGGCUUGUUUAGUUAGCGCGUCCCAGAGAUCGUCUUGAACGGCGUUACCGUAUUGGCUUUUAACGACAAAAAGAAUCAGCUAAAGAAGGUUUUAAAAACAGCUAGCAGGUUUUUUCGCCAAGAAAUGCGGCCAACAUCCGGAUAACGGUGGCACCUUUUUCGUAAGUAACCUUGCUGGAAAUCUCAGUGACUUCAUCCGGAUGGUGAACGACAACGUUGAUCGGGUGACUUGAUUCAAGGGCGUCCAAUCUCAUCGCGCUCUGCAGAUCUCUAGUCACGAACUGCUGCGGCCAUUUCAACCCUGGUUCGGCAUGAUCGGUACCGAGAUACUCUGCAUCAAAUCAAAAACUAAAUAAUUAAAAAACAAUAUCACAGGGUAAGUACGGAAUAAUAGCAAAUUGAGGUAUACCUGCGUAGCUUGCGAAACCUUCGUUCAACCACAAGUCCGUCCACCUUUUAAAUUAUUAAGUUAAUAAUUAAUAAUUCAAAUGGCAAAUAUCCAAUCCUUACCAGUCCAUUGUGACGAGAUUUCCGAACCACUGAUGGGCCAAUUCGUGAGCGACAACCUCGACAACUUUUUCUCUGUCGCUAACCGACGAUUUCUUUUCAUCGUACAACAACCUAGUUUCUCUGGGUUACCAAAACAGAAAUGAAAAUUAUGUUGUCAAAAUGCCAAAGAAUUUUCUCAAUUUAAAAACCUGUAGGUAAUCAAACCCCAAUUUUCCAUGGCACCUGAACUCGGAGAAAUGCAAGCGGAUUUCAGUAAAAACCCAAAUAGUCGAAACAAAUUGAAUGAAAUGAAAAAAGACCUGCAGCAAAGUCGGGAAUGGCAAUCAUAUCCUGUUUGGGCAAAGCAUAUGGAAUCUGGAAAUAGUCUUCAAAGAAAGCUUGGAUUUUCGGCCCAAUUUCGCUCGCGUAUCUUUAAGUACGGACAAAUGAGAUUAUUUAAAAUUCGGGAGUUAAAAUUUGAUUAGUGAACAUAAGGAGGGAGGAAUAAACUCACUGCGCUUGAUUGCGAGCCGAAGGGCGUGCGUAAAUGUUGAACUUCCACGUUGCGUUGCCGACGUUGGCCUCGAAUUUCGUGAAAUCGGCCACAACGAAGGCGAUGAGGCGUGAACAACGUGAUCGUAGUAAUCGGAUAUGCAAAUAGAAAAAUAAUAAAUAGAUAAUUAUGGAGCAUGACUUGCAUUGAUGUUGUGUUAACCAACGGCAUGUUGGAUAGUGAAAUCAUGUCGCGAUGACGGCCCAAAGUGACGGUGAAAGUUGCCUUCAUGUUGGGUUCGUCGAAGCACGGGAAAGCUCGGCGGGCAUCCGUCGCCUGCAUCUGAGACACGGCCAUGUACCUGACGUCGAAGAGAAAAUCAAAAUCAACGCUUUCUUUUCCCAUCAAAGAAAUGGACCAAUUAAUUGAAUUGGGUGAGCGAGACUGAAGACAAGGUAAUAGUAGUUUGUGUGUUUACUUUUCAACUCCAUCCUCCUUAUAAGUAGAGCGGUACAAGCCCCGCAGCCCAUCUGUCAGGUUACCAACGUAAUUCAUCGACAAUGUGUAGUUGGCUCCUUUGGCCAGCUUGUCUUUAUCUACAAGACGAAUGACUAGAAACUCCAUAUCCGUAUCAUAAUGGAUCCCGUCGCUAGCCACCAUUAGGGUUUUUCCAGGUUUUCCCUGUUCAAAUACCUGGGAGAGAAAAACAAAAUGUUCCAAUUAUAACCCUCAUUAUCUUCUAGAUGCUGCUGGAUAUACUGGGCCGUCUCUACCUUGACGGAUUUGGGAUCGACGACAAUGUCAGCGCUGUGGAGGACAAUGCGGUCCGUUUCCAUUUUGCAUUGGAUGUCGAUAGCCACGUGACCCAGAAUGGAGAAGUUGCCUUUCUCCAAGACGGGAAAGAGUCGGACAUCAUAACGAAUAGGCAGGACGUCCCGCGGCAAACGGAUGUUAUCAUUGCUGGAUUUUUCGUGAGACUUGUCUUUCUUGCUGCCACGAGAAGAAGACGAAGCGGAAGCAGCGGCUCCAUUGGUGGCGGUCACCGGGUAAGGUUGAUUGGGCAGAAAGGAGACCAAUUUACCCACGUCAGCAGCUGGAACAGCCAAGGACCAGGUUGGGUAGACACCAUGGAUGUGGUAGUAUUGUUCAGCUGCUUCCUGAUCCUGAUGACCCUCCAUGGCGAAUACGCAAGCGGCCAAAGCCACCAAAACCAAAAGGGUCUAAAUAGAUACGAUUGCACAUUUUUAAUCUCAUGACACUCUUUGGUAAGAAGAGAAGAAUAUAAGUUGGAAUAAUUACCAUUGACUUGCACAUGUUGAAGAGAGUUGCUGAGCUGAUACUUGACGAUCAACUGCAAUCAACUGUGUCUUUUCCAUCGUUGGGGUGAAUCAAUUUAUACCCCCAAGUUGUUGUUUGAAACCGCAUGAUCCUCACCUUGUAUGGUCCACACCCAAAGAAUUAAUUUGCAUGAGCCAACUUGUUUCUUGUCUCCUUCGCAAUUUCCUUUUGACUUGUUUGGUGUUAUCACGACACUGAAUCUGUUUUUCAGUUUCGCUGGCCAAAUUAGAAUAACACAUCUUCUCACGUCCGCGGGGGUGCCCCUCUGGAAUUCCCUUGCCCGCAGGCUCCAGUCACUUAUGCGUCACAUGAUCGAAGGGGUGUUGGUUUGAUCCAAGUAUGAAUUGAAUAAUGAAUUACAAAGAUUCGUUCGUAUUCAGUUUUGAUUUAUAAUCUUAAAAAAAUAUAUUUGCAAGGUGGUGC